ensembl:snRNA U6 U6 spliceosomal RNA
GUGCUCACAACAACAGUACAGAUACUAAAAUUGGAGUGAUACAGAGAUUAGCAUGGCCCUAAUGCAAGGAUGUCACCCAAAUUCAUAAAGUGUUCCAUGUUUAA